rnacentral:rRNA from 1 species
UACGAAGGGGGCUAGCGUUGCUCGGAAUCACUGGGCGUAAAGGGCGCGUAGGCGGCGUUUUAAGUCGGGGGUGAAAGCCUGUGGCUCAACCACAGAAUGGCCUUCGAUACUGGGACGCUUGAGUAUGGUAGAGGUUGGUGGAACUGCGAGUGUAGAGGUGAAAUUCGUAGAUAUUCGCAAGAACACCGGUGGCGAAGGCGGCCAACUGGACCAUUACUGACGCUGAGGCGCGAAAGCGUGGGAGC